UGCAGGUCAAUCCCUGACGGCUGUUCUCGCUGCAGUUGGAGGUGGAGUUUUAUCAUUAAUUGCAAUGAUACAGGUCGCGGUUAUGCUCUUUACUAGCAGGCGAGAAAAGAAACGAGCUCAAACACCUUCGCCGGAGGAAACGUCGUCAAACACAACCGGAUACGUCAAUGCGUCAUUUGUAGCCAUCACGGAGCAAACAGGACACACUGUGCGGGAUGGUGCUGAAGCGGUAACCGGCCAAACACCUUCACCGGAAGAAACGUCGUCAAACGCGACCGGAUACGUCAAUGCGUCAUUUGUAGCCAUCACUGGUAAGUUGGCGAGCUUCUGGGUAUCUCGAA